rnacentral:snoRNA from 1 species
GCAGGCCGCAGAGGGUUGCCAUUCAUUCCUCGUGCGGUUCAACAACAUGGUCCAAGA